rnacentral:rRNA from 1 species
CGUGGAUCGAUUUGUCUGGUUUAUUCCGAUAACGAGCGAGACUCUAGCCUACUAAAUAGUAACGGGAUUAUCAUUGUCCCGGUUGCUUCUUAGAGGGAUUUUCGGUGUUUAGCCGCACGAGAUUGAGCAAUAACAGGUCUGUGAUGCCCUUAGAUGUCCGGGGCUGCACGCGCGCUACACUGGCGAAAUCAGCGUGCUGUAUCCAUUCUCGAAAGGGAUUGGUAAACCCAUGAAAAUUUGCCGUGCUUGGGAUCGGAAAUUGCAAUUAUUUUCCGUGAACGAGGAAUUCCAAGUAAGUGCGAGUCAUCAACUCGCUCUGAUUACGUCCCUGCCCUUUGUAC